GAAAAUUUGAGCAUUACCUAACUGCCUAUUUAGAUUUGGGCUUUGGACUGAUGUGUUGAGGGAAAUAAAUAUUCGUAAUUUCAAAUUUCCUCGUUUUCUGAGUUAUAACAAACAAACAUUACAAGGAUUUACCGAUAAAUGAUGACUCCAGUGUUUGCCAGGCCUGAGUGUGACGUAAUAUUCUACAUAAAACCCCGCCUUUUCCUUCGUCACGUCCUCUUGCCGUUGGUGUCUUCUCGUCGAGACACAUCUCCACAACAUGAGAGCAAAGUGGAGGAAGAAGCGUAUGCGCAGACUGAAGCGUAAAAGGCGAAAGAUGAGGCAGAGGUCCAAGUAGACUGACCCCUCUCCUGCAGCUGUGAGUCCCGUCCCCACUGCACCAGUCAAGUUUCUGCAAACAUUCUCCACGUUCUCUGAAAGGGUGCCUUGGAGGAGGAAGGGCAACAACACCAAUGUCUUCAACAGAACUGCCUGACAUUCUACAGUUUGCAUCAAGAGUUUCGUUUCGGGGCUUGGAGCUGGAAGAUUGUGGGGAAUUAAGGACAUUUCUUAUGUUUUGGGGUUCACUCUGGACUUGUCACCAUCUAUCCAGCACAGCUGACGUGCUCAUGUAAAGACCAUAAUAAAGCUCUGGUUUAUACACUUAACUAUUCUCUU
ensembl:lncRNA